rnacentral:rRNA from 1 species
UGCCAGCAGCCGCGGUAAUACGUAGGGUGCGAGCGUUAAUCGGAAUUACUGGGCGUAAAGCGUGCGCAGGCGGUUUUAUAAGUCAGAUGUGAAAUCCCCGAGCUCAACUUGGGAACUGCGUUUAAUACUAGCAAGCUAGAGAAAUAGAGAGGAAAGUGGAACUCCCAGUGUAGAGGUGAAAUUCGUAGAUAUUGGGAAGAACACCAGUGGCGAAAGCGACUUUCUGGCUAUUUUCUGACGCUCAGGAGCGAAAGCGUGGGGAGCAAACAGGAUUAGAUA